rnacentral:rRNA from 1 species
ACUCCUGCGGGAGGCAGCAGUGGGGAAUUUUGGACAAUGGGCGAAAGCCUGAUCCAGCCAUGCCGCGUGCAGGAUGAAGGCCUUCGGGUUGUAAACUGCUUUUGUACGGAACGAAACGGCCUUUUCUAAUAAAGAGGGCUAAUGACGGUACCGUAAGAAUAAGCACCGGCUAACUACGUGCCAGCAGCCGCGGUAAUACGUAGGGUGCAAGCGUUAAUCGGAAUUACUGGGCGUAAAGCGUGCGCAGGCGGUUAUGUAAGACAGUUGUGAAAUCCCCGGGCUCAACCUGGGAACUGCAUCUGUGACUGCAUAGCUAGAGUACGGUAGAGGGGGAUGGAAUUCCGCGUGUAGCAGUGAAAUGCGUAGAUAUGCGGAGGAACACCGAUGGCGAAGGCAAUCCCCUGGACCUGUACUGACGCUCAUGCACGAAAGCGUGGGGAGCAAACAGGAUUAGAAACCCGGGUAGUCCCAU